rnacentral:rRNA from 1 species
GACGAACGCUGGCGGCAUGCCUAAUACAUGCAAGUCGAGCGAACAGAUGAAGUGCUUGCACUUCUGACGUUAGCGGCGAACGGGUGAGUAACACGUAAGGAAUCUACCUAUAAGCGGGGGAUAACAUUCGGAAACGGGUGCUAAUACCGCAUAAUAUCUUCUUCCGCAUGGAAGAAGAUUGAAAGACGGCUCUGCUGUCACUUAUAGAUGACCUUGCGGUGCAUUAGUUAGUUGGUGGGGUAACGGCCUACCAAGACGAUGAUGCAUAGCCGACCUGGUAGUGUGAUCGGCCACAUUGGGACUGAGACACGGCCCAAACUCCUACGGGAGGCAGCAGUAGGGAAUCGUCCGCAAUGGGCGAAAGCCUGACGGAGCAAGGCCGCGUGAGUGAAGAAGGCCUUCGGGUCGUAAAACUCUGUUAUAAGAGAAGAACAAAUUGUAGAGUAACUGCUACAGUCUUGACGGUAUCUUAUCAGAAAGCCACGGCUAACUACGUGCCAGCCGCCGCCGUAA